UCAUUUCUCGGUUGCUUUAAGCUUGACUUAAGAGUAAGAACAAUUAAACAAAAAUGUUGGUAAACCAAUUUGAUUGUAACACACUUAAAUCUCAAAUAGUAUUCAUGCAAUUAUCAAAACAACUAACAAAAACAAAGUUUUGGUGAACUAGAGCUACCCAAAAGUACAUCAAAAUUUUUCAAAAACAAAAAUAAUACAAAGAAACUCAAAAUGACAACAACUCCUCAAAUUCACCAACUCCUCAAUCCUCCUCUUUGCACC
rnacentral:lncRNA from 1 species